GGAAGAUUGAUGGUUAUGUCACAAAAAUAUAAGUUAGCAACAGAUGCAUCGCUAAUCCAUCACUGAUCUAUUACUAAUUUGUCACUGAAGCCCUUAACGAUGAGGUUUUUAAGGGCCACCAUAAUCCAUUGCUAAUUUCAAAAUUUAAUUUUCAGUAACAUAUUUUAGUCCAUUAUUGAGAUCCUUAUCGCUAAAGUAUUAGUAACGGUUUAGUAAAGUAUCAACAAUGAAUCUGUUGCUAAUCAAUAUUUUUGCAAUGAAAUUUUGAU
rnacentral:misc_RNA from 1 species